GCGCCCCUCAAGGGGGGCUUGAGCGCCAGAAAGUGUCGUAGCACGCCAGGGUGCCCUUCCAGGAGCGCUUGAUCGUCGGGCCCCGAGGCUUGGGUGCCCCUCUUGAAGGCUCAAGACCCACAUGACAACCGUCCACCGCUUGGGCGCCCUAAGUGGGGCGCCUGAGCGUCGUGGGUCAUCAUGGAUAAAGCCCAAUUUUUGUUCUAUUUUGACUCUAUUGGAUCGGGC
rnacentral:lncRNA from 1 species